rnacentral:lncRNA from 1 species
AAAACUGGAAUGAAACUUGACCCCUCCAAAGGGAAAAAAACAUUAUUAUAAAGGUUUGGAGUCUGUAACAUAAGAUAUAUAGGUCUAUAUUUUAUUUUAUUUUUUAAUGAUCUUUUGGUCUGAAAUUAUACAAAUCUUUAAAGAAUGCCAAAUAAUAUUGUGAACAAUACUUGAAUUUAGAAGGCAACACAAUCACGAUAUAUUCUUCAUUUUUUUUUUUUAUGAGGAAGAUUCGCUCUGAGCUAACAUCUGUUGCCAAUCUUCUAUUUUUGCAUGUGGGUUGCCACCAUAGCUUGCCUUGACAAGGCUUGGUGUAUGUCUACACCCGGGAUCCAAACUUGUGAACCCGGGCCGCCAAACUGGCACGCACAAGACUUAACCACUACGCCAUGGGGCUGGCUCCUAUAUUCUUUUGAGAAGAAAAAUAUAUGCAGUUUUCAGAUACACUCACUGUCUCCUCAAACAUCUUAGACUGUCGUUGUCUUCUAAGGGUACUGCAGCGCCCUCUGGUGGGAUUUUUAAACAGCUUUCCAUCUCCUAGAUCCUAUUUUCUUUGAGAAAAAGAAUUCAGGGAAAGAGUAACAACUUUCAUUUUUAUCAUAGUUGACCAUUUAAAACUACUUUCCUGUGCACGACUUCAUCUGAUCCUCCAACAUUCUCCCUGGCCACAGCUUCUUGAGGGCCAGGCAGUUUUCCGCGUCCUUUGAGGCCUUGAGGACAGCAGCCUUCCAGCAGCACGCUCUGAGAGGGGGCAGGGCAGAUUGGAUCCACCUCCUUGAACGAAUCCUGUGUUACAGGGAAAGCAGAUACUGUUUUCCUGACCGCCUUCGGAGACCCUUCAUAAGCCAGUCAGAAAAGUCUUGAAGGCCUGCUCAUAAUGUAGCUAAUGAAAUUUUAGGCCCUGACCUUGAAAAGGAAAGUCUUUAUAAUCAACCAAAGGAGUCUGAGAAGAGACGAAAGGGAUGUCCCUUCUUGCAGCUAAGAGAAAUUCAACUCUGCAUCUUAAGCUACGUCAAAAAGCCUGAUUCCAUAAGAAGUGUCAUUGGAACCAGAAGGUCUGGUGAGACUCCGAAGGCUUCAGACGGUGUCGCCCUGUCCUGGAAAAUAACCUCCGAGCGGGAUCUGCAGCUCUGACUGUCUUACUGCUGAGUCUUCGACCUGGCAGCAAUAUUGUAACUGACAUCUCUGUAUUUCUAAGCAGUCUUUUAAUUUUUCCUCCAGAUUAAGAAUCACAAGCACUUUCCUUUCCUUCCAC